ensembl:lncRNA
CUGGAUAGCAGAUUAAGACAGUGCUUGAAAUAAAAGAUUCCUUUCCCUUGUCCCUCUGAAAGAAUGCUCAACCUCAAAAAAUAAAAUGCAUGGAAGUUUCAAGCUAAAAGGUUUCCAAAUUUCUACCGUCAAAACCAUCAGAUAAGCAAACUGCUUCCAUAAAUAGGAAAAUCUAAUGAAGCAGGAAUAAGGAAAAGACUAGAGAUGAGAGAUAAAUUUAUCUACUGUCUCUACUGUAAAAGUCGAUCAAGUAGUUACAGGAACAGUUGAUGGUAAAUGNGGGGGGGGGGGGGGGAGGGGAGGGAGGGAGGGAAAUCACACCCUCCACAGGGCUGCCUGCAGUGCCUGAAGGACAAUGAGUGAAAUAGGGAAGGAAUUUGAAUGACAAAGUGACAAGAUGUCUGUCUCCUUAAUGAUAGUACAAGUUGGGAGUCGGUCACUGCCUGGCCCAGAUCUACGUUUAAAAGCUGCUUCUCCCAGUUUUAAGUUACCAACUCAGCUCAAUAUCUAAAACAAAGAGAAUGAAUUAUGGAACAGGACGAAGGGAGCUUGUUAAUUUUCCCACUGAUGCACUGUGAAAUGAAAGCUUUAUUCUAAGAAUGCCAUAUCCUCAGGGCUCUGUCUGCAGAGACAAUGACAAAUACAAAUGUCCUUACAGUUUUCUUCCUUUCCCCUCCUACUUUACCAAGCAUUCCAGACACAUUCUCUCUCUCUCUUUCCCUCUCUCUCUCUUUUCUCUCUCUCUCUCUUUUCUCUCUCUCUCUCUUUUCUCUCUCUCUCUCUCUCUCUCUCUCUUUCUCUCUGUCUCUCUCUGUCUCUCUCUCUCUUUCUCUCUCUCUCCAUCUCUGUUCUUUUUCUCUUCCUCUUUUCCUCUGUUUCUUCUUUCUCUCGCUUCCUCUUUCCCUCUCUUCUCUCUUCCUCUCUGUCCUUUCUCUCUUUUUCCCCCCUCUCCUCCUUUCCCUCUCCUCUCUUCCUCUUUCCCUCUCCAUCUCUGUUCUCUUUCUCUCUUCCUCUUUUCUGCUCUCUGUCUUACUCUCUCCCUCUCUUUCUUCUCUGUCUCUCUUCCUCUUUCCCUCUCUCUCUUCCUCUCCUUUCUUUCUCUUUCUCUCUGUCUCUCUUCCUCUCUUCCUCUCUCUGUGUCUCUUGCUUACUUUCUCUUCUUUCUCUCUUUUCCUCUGUCUCUUCCUCUCUUUCCCUUUCUUUCUUCUCUCUGUCUCUCUCUUUCCCUCUCUGUCUUUCUUUCCCUACCUCUCUGUCUCUCCCUCUCUUUCUCUAUUUCUAUUUCCCUGUCCCUCUUCUCUCUUUUCCUACUCUCCCUUUAACAUAUACACAUAUCUGUGUGUAUGUUCACAUAAAAGCACAUUUGUCUCUCUACACAUACACACACAUACACACACACACACACACAUAUAUGGAUCACAUUUCACUAUGGGGGUGCUUGGCCCUUGCAUAGCUAAAUGUGACCCAUGUAACUCACACCUGUAUUUCUCUUUAGGGCACUACUUCAGUUUCAUGGAAAAUAAUGCCCCCUCUUGUGAUGUUGCUGAUGAACAAAUUCUCGGAGGUCAUACAUCUGAUUUCUUGUGCAGUCGGCAUCUAUGCUCCUGGCCUUUAUAUGCAUUGCUAGCUAUUGUCAAUAGCCUGAACUAG